rnacentral:rRNA from 1 species
UACGUAGGGUGCGAGCGUUAAUCGGAAUUACUGGGCGUAAAGCGUGCGCAGGCGGUUCGCUGUGUCCGAUGUGAAAUCCCCGGGCUUAACCUGGGAACUGCAUUUGUGACUGCAUAGCUGGAGUGCGGCAGAGGGGGAUGGAAUUCCGCGUGUAGCAGUGAAAUGCGUAGAUAUGCGGAGGAACACCGAUGGCGAAGGCAAUCCCCUGGGCCUGCACUGACGCUCAUGCACGAAAGCGUGGGGAGCAAACAGG